GUGCUCACUUCAACAGCACAUAUACUAAAAUUGGAACCAUGCAGAGAAGAUUAGCAUGGCUCCUGCACAAGGAUGACAUACACAUUUCUGAAGUGUUUAAUUUUUUU
ensembl:snRNA U6 U6 spliceosomal RNA